rnacentral:lncRNA from 1 species
UUUUAGGAGUAAAUCCUUUUUACCUUAGUCUUUACUGCUCUUCUACAUAAAACACCUAACAUUAAAUCUAAAAAUUAUGAGACACUCACAAAAUCAAAGUGAAAUGAUACAUUGUCAUGAGAUAAGGCAGUCAGUUGAACUGGACCAGAGAUGGUCAGCAUGUUGGUAUUCUUAGAAAGGGACAUUAAAAUAACUGAUUAAGAGAUCUAGGUCAGGUGCAGUGGCUCUGGGAGGCCAAGGCGGGCAGAUUGCUUGAGCCCAGGAGUUUGAGACCAGCCUGGGCAACAUGGCGAAAUUUUGCCUCUACCAAGAAUACAAAAAAUUAGCCAGGCAUGGUGGCACGUGCCUGUAGUCCCAACUACUUGGGAGGCUGAGGCGGGAGAAUCGCUUGAGCCUGGGAGGCAGAGGUUACGUGAGCUGAAAUCACACCACUGUACUCCAGCCUGGGUGACAGAGCCAGACCCUGUCCCCAACCCACAAAAAAAUGAGAGAUUGAGAGAGACCUAGUGGAAAAGGUGGACAAUAUGUGUGAACAGAUAGAUCUUUCAGCAGAGAAAAGGAAGCUGUUUUGAAAAAGUAAAACAAGCAUGCUAGAUAUGAAAAUAUGACAACAGAUGAAUAGUUCCUUCAGUGGGCAUAUUAGCAAAGGAAAGAAUCAUUGAAAGUGAAGUUAAGUCAUUCAGAAUUAUCCAAAUUAAAACACAAAGAGAAAAAAAAGUAAGAGCAAGGAACAGAGUGAGAGUUGGGGGAAUCUAUCCAGUGAUCUAACUCAGGGGUCAGGAAACUUUCUUAAAGGGACAAAUAGUAAAUAUUGUAGGCUUAUGAACCAUACAGUUUUGUUUUUUUUUUUUUUUUUACAAUCACUUAGCUCUGCUAUUGCAGUGCAAAAGCAGCAGAGACAAUACAUAAAUGAAUGGAC